UUUCCGUAGGUGAACCUGCGGAAGGAUCAUUAUUGAAUAAACCUGAUGUGACUGUUAGCUGGCUUUUCGAAGCAUGUGCUCGUCCAUCAUCUUUAAUCUCUCCACCUGUGCACAUUUUGUAGUCUUGGAUACCUCUCGAGGCAACUCGGAUUUUAGGAUCGCCGUGCUGCACAAGUCGGCUUUCCUUUCAUUUCCAAGACUAUGUUUUUAUAUACACCAAAGUAUGUUUAAAGAAUGUCAUCAAUAGGAACUUGUCUCCUAUAAAAUUAUACAACUUUCAGCAACGGAUCUCUUGGCUCUC
rnacentral:misc_RNA from 1 species